AUGCCUAACACAUGCAAGUCGAACGAAGGCUUCGGCCUUAGUGGCGCACGGGUGCGUAACGCGUGGGAAUCUGCCCUCAGGUUCGGAAUAACAGCGAGAAAUUGCUGCUAAUACCGGAUGAUAUCGCGAGAUCAAAGAUUUAUCGCCUGAGGAUGAGCCCGCGUAGGAUUAGCUAGUUGGUGUGGUAAAGGCGCACCAAGGCGACGAUCCUUAGCUGGUCUGAGAGGAUGAUCAGCCACACUGGGACUGAGACACGGCCCAGACUCCUACGGGAGGCAGCAGUGGGGAAUAUUGGACAAUGGGCGAAAGCCUGAUCCAGCAAUGCCGCGUGAGUGAUGAAGGCCUUAGGGUUGUAAAGCUCUUUUACCCGGGAUGAUAAUGACAGUACCGGGAGAAUAAGCUCCGGCUAACUCCGUGCCAGCAGCCGCGGUAAUACGGAGGGAGCUAGCGUUAUUCGGAAUUACUGGGCGUAAAGCGCACGUAGGCGGCUUUGUAAGUUA
rnacentral:rRNA from 1 species